rnacentral:lncRNA from 1 species
UGUUUAUUUUUGUCCGGCGUGCCUGUUAGAGUUUCAGUUGAGCAAAAAUUUUGAGUGGUAAGUGAGUUAGUGAGGAGAGGAAAUUUAGGGAUAUGUUGGCAUAUUCUUUAUUUUAUUUUUUAUUUUUAUUUUUGUUUUGUUAUUUUUUCUCUCACCUCCAAAAAUCCCCAAAAAUUUGACGUUUUCUUUCCUGUCAAUUGGGAAAGUCCCUUUUCCCUUGCCUUUGGAAUUUUGUCGCGUUUUUGUUGCUCAAUCUUGGUGUAUCAGUUUUUCGGUGUUGUGGUGCGGCUUGGUAAGUG